rnacentral:rRNA from 1 species
CUGAUUAGAGAUUUUAACACGAAGUGAGUGGCGAACGCGGUGAGUAACACGUGGGUAACCUGCCCAGAAGUAGGGGAUAACACCUGGAAACAGAUGCUAAUACCGUAUAACAGAGAAAACCGCAUGGUUUUCUUUUAAAAGAUGGCUCUGCUAUCACUUCUGGAUGGACCCGCGGCGUAUUAGCUAGUUGGUGAGGUAAAGGCUCACCAAGGCAGUGAUACGUAGCCGACCUGAGAGGGUAAUCGGCCACAUUGGGACUGAGACACGGCCCAGACUCCUACGGGAGGCAGCAGUAGGGAAUCUUCCACAAUGGACGCAAGUCUGAUGGAGCAACGCCGCGUGAGUGAAGAAGGGUUUCGGCUCGUAAAGCUCUGUUGUUAAAGAAGAACGUGGGUAAGAGUAACUGUUUACCCAGUGACGGUAUUUAACCAGAAAGCCACGGCUAACUACGUGCCAGCAGCCGCGGUAAUACGUAGGUGGCAAGCGUUAUCCGGAUUUAUUGGGCGUAAAGCGAGCGCAGGCGGUCUUUUAAGUCUAAUGUGAAAGCCUUCGGCUCAACCGAAGAAGUGCAUUGGAAACUGGGAGACUUGAGUGCAGAAGAGGACAGUGGAACUCCAUGUGUAGCGGUGAAAUGCGUAGAUAUAUGGAAGAACACCAGUGGCGAAGGCGGCUGUCUGGUCUGCAACUGACGCUGAGGCUCGAAAGCAUGGGUAGCGAACAGGAUUAGAUACCCUGGUAGUCCAUGCCGUAAACGAUGAUUACUAAGUGUUGGAGGGUUUCCGCCCU